rnacentral:rRNA from 1 species
GGUGCAUGGUUGUCGUCAGCUCGUGUCGUGAGAUGUUGGGUUAAGUCCCGCAACGAGCGCAACCCUUAUUGUUAGUUGCUACGCAAGAGCACUCUAGCGUGACUGCCGUUGACAAAACGGAGGAAGGUGGGGACGACGUCAAAUCAUCAUGCCCCUUAUGUCCUGGGCCACACACGUACUACAAUGGUGGUCAACAGAGGGAAGCAAUACCGCGAGGUGGAGCAAAUCCCUAAAAGCCAUCCCAGUUCGGAUCGCAGGCUGCAACCCGCCUGCGUGAAGUUGGAAUCGCUAGUAAUCGCGGAUCAGCAUGCCGCGGUGAAUACGUUCCCGGGCCUUGUACACACCGCCCGUCACACCAUGAGAGUCGGGAACACCCGAAGUCCGUAGCCUAACCGCAAGGGGGGCGCGGCCGAAGGUGGGUUCGAUAAUUGAGGUGAAGUCGUAACAAGGUAGCCGUAUCGGAAGGUGCGGCUGGAUCACCUC